AAAAUCCUAGCUUAAUUAAAGCAUCUGGGUUGCAUCUAGAGUAUGCAGGGUAGAGUCCUGCGGAUUUUA
rnacentral:tRNA from 1 species